rnacentral:rRNA from 3 species
AGAGUUUGAUCAUGGCUCAGAUUGAACGCUGGCGGCAGGCCUAACACAUGCAAGUCGAGCGGUAGCACAGAGAGCUUGCUCUCGGGUGACGAGCGGCGGACGGGUGAGUAAUGUCUGGGAAACUGCCUGAUGGAGGGGGAUAACUACUGGAAACGGUAGCUAAUACCGCAUAACGUCGCAAGACCAAAGUGGGGGACCUUCGGGCCUCAUGCCAUCAGAUGUGCCCAGAUGGGAUUAGCUGGUAGGUGGGGUAACGGCUCACCUAGGCGACGAUCCCUAGCUGGUCUGAGAGGAUGACCAGCCACACUGGAACUGAGACACGGUCCAGACUCCUACGGGAGGCAGCAGUGGGGAAUAUUGCACAAUGGGCGCAAGCCUGAUGCAGCCAUGCCGCGUGUGUGAAGAAGGCCUUCGGGUUGUAAAGCACUUUCAGCGGGGAGGAAGGCGGUGAGGUUAAUAACCUCAUCGAUUGACGUUACCCGCAGAAGAAGCACCGGCUAACUCCGUGCCAGCAGCCGCGGUAAUACGGAGGGUGCAAGCGUUAAUCGGAAUUACUGGGCGUAAAGCGCACGCAGGCGGUCUGUCAAGUCGGAUGUGAAAUCCCCGGGCUCAACCUGGGAACUGCAUUCGAAACUGGCAGGCUAGAGUCUUGUAGAGGGGGGUAGAAUUCCAGGUGUAGCGGUGAAAUGCGUAGAGAUCUGGAGGAAUACCGGUGGCGAAGGCGGCCCCCUGGACAAAGACUGACGCUCAGGUGCGAAAGCGUGGGGAGCAAACAGGAUUAGAUACCCUGGUAGUCCACGCUGUAAACGAUGUCGAUUUGGAGGUUGUGCCCUUGAGGCGUGGCUUCCGGAGCUAACGCGUUAAAUCGACCGCCUGGGGAGUACGGCCGCAAGGUUAAAACUCAAAUGAAUUGACGGGGGCCCGCACAAGCGGUGGAGCAUGUGGUUUAAUUCGAUGCAACGCGAAGAACCUUACCUGGUCUUGACAUCCACAGAACUUUCCAGAGAUGGAUUGGUGCCUUCGGGAACUGUGAGACAGGUGCUGCAUGGCUGUCGUCAGCUCGUGUUGUGAAAUGUUGGGUUAAGUCCCGCAACGAGCGCAACCCUUAUCCUUUGUUGCCAGCGGUCCGGCCGGGAACUCAAAGGAGACUGCCAGUGAUAAACUGGAGGAAGGUGGGGAUGACGUCAAGUCAUCAUGGCCCUUACGACCAGGGCUACACACGUGCUACAAUGGCAUAUACAAAGAGAAGCGACCUCGCGAGAGCAAGCGGACCUCAUAAAGUAUGUCGUAGUCCGGAUUGGAGUCUGCAACUCGACUCCAUGAAGUCGGAAUCGCUAGUAAUCGUAGAUCAGAAUGCUACGGUGAAUACGUUCCCGGGCCUUGUACACACCGCCCGUCACACCAUGGGAGUGGGUUGCAAAAGAAGUAGGUAGCUUAACCUUCGGGAGGGCGCUUACCACUUUGUGAUUCAUGACUGGGGUGAAGUCGUAACAAGGUAACCGUAGGGGAACCUGCGGUUGGAUCACCU